rnacentral:rRNA from 1 species
UGAAUACGAGACGCUAAGGCGUCGAAGUAGUGUAUAUCAGACUUCCAAGAAAAGCUUGCACUGUCAUAGAUAAAAAAUGCCUGUACCAUAACCGACACAGGUGGGUAGGUAGAGUAUACUAAGGGGCGCGAGAUAACUCUCUCUAAGGAACUCGGCAAAAUAACUCCGUAACUUCGGGAGAAGGAGUGCCUUAUUUAUAAGGUUGCAAUAACAAGAUCCAAGCAACUGUUUAUCAAAAACACAGGUCUCCGCUAAGUCGUAAGACGAUGUAUGGGGGCUGACGCCUGCCCAGUGCCAGAAGGUUAAAGAAGUUGGUUAGCAAUUGCGAAGCUGAUAACUGAAGCCCUGGUGAACGGCGGCCGUAACAAUAACGGUUCUAAGGUAGCGAAAUUGUCGGGUAAGUUCCGACCCGCACGAAAGGCGUAAUGAUUUGGAUACUGUCUCGGAGAGGGGCUCGGUGAAAUAGACUUGUCUGUGAAGAUGCGGACUACCUGCACCAGGACAGAAAGACCCUAUGAAGCUUUACUGUAACUUGAAAUUGAAAUUGGACUUUAUUCGCGCAGCAUAGGUGGGAGGCGUUGAUUAUAAUCUUGCGGGAUUAUUGGAGCCAUCAGUGAGAUACCACUCUUGUAAUGUUAGAUUUCUAACUUUGAAUCAUUAUCUGGUCAAAGAACAGUUUCAGGCGGGCAGUUUGACUGGGGCGGUCGCCUCCUAAAUGGUAACGGAGGCGUACAAAGGUUUCCUCUGAACGGUUAGAAAUCGUAUCUAGAGUGUAAAGGCAUAAGGAAGCUUGACUGUGAGACCUACAAGUCGAGCAGGGACGAAAGUCGGUCUUAGUGAUCUGACGGUACUGAGUGGAAAGGCCGUCACUCAACGGAUAAAAGUUACUCUAGGAUAACAGGCUGAUCUCCCCUAAGAGUUCACAUCGACGGGGAGGUUUGGCACCUCGAUGUCGGCUCAUCGCAUCCUGGGGCGGUAGUACGUCCCAAGGGUUGGGCUGUUCACCCAUGAAAGCGGUACGCGAGCUGGGUUCAGAACGUCGUGAGACAGUUCGGUCCAUAUCCGGUGUAGGCGUUAGAAUAUUGAGAGGAGCCUUCUUUAGUACGAGAGGACCGAGAAGGACAUACCUCUGGUGUACCAGUUAUCGUGCCAACGGUAAACGCUGGGUAGCUAUGUAUGGAGUGGAUAACCGCUGAAAGCAUCUAAGUGGGAAGCCCACCUCAAGAUAAG